rnacentral:lncRNA from 1 species
GGAGGAGGCUCCAGUGACUGGCUGGCCCCAGUUUGCUGUGGGUGGGGGAGGAAAAGCCUUUUUUUAUUUUUUUUUUUUCCCUUUGUUCACUGAACUUGCAGGGAGUUUUAAUGGCAAAGAACUUAAUGCCACAUUAUAUUAUUGUAAAGCUGCUGGCCUUUUUGAUUUAUUUUUCUUGCUACUUCCUAUUUUUGGUCUUCAUGUACUGUUUCUUUGAGCUGCUGUAUAUUUUUAUUAAAUAUCUUUGGUCGCUCCUAAUGGAAAGUGCUAAGAAAAGUCAUUUUGCUUCUCCUAAUAUUUUUAAGUGUUUGUUGGGUGGAUUUCAGUGCAGAUGGAAAAUCCCUGGGGCUGGAGGGCGAUGGAGCCUCGCUGGCCAGGGACAAACCCGUUCUAUUGCCCCUGCUGAGAGCCUUGAAUACUCCAGAAUUCACGGUGGAUUUCAGCUGCCUGCCCGAGGCUGUGAAGGCGCUGGCGCGCGACGGCUGCAGGGCCCUGCAGGAGCAGCAGUGCCACAGCGCCGAGCUCGCCUUCUCGCGGCUCCUCAGCAUCCUCUGCGCCUCGGGCGUGGCGGUGAGAGCGGCCAAAGCCCCUGCCCGGGGACCCCCU